AACGAACGCUGGCGGCAUGCCUAACACAUGCAAGUCGAACGAACCCAUCAGGUCCUUUCUCGCCCGAGUGCGUAACCGGACGGAAGCUUCACAUAGGUAUGAAAUAACUCUCCGACAGGGGUAAUAAUACCAGACCAUGUCUUCUGCCGAACGAUAUAUUGCACUUGAAUGGGCCCGCGUUGGAUUAGGUAGUUGGUUGGGUAAAAGCCUACCAAGGCGACGAUUCAUAGCUUGUUAGAGAGGAUGAUCAGCAACACUGGGACUGAGACACGACCCGGGAUCCUACGGGAGGGAGCAAUGGGGAAUAUUGGACAAUGGGCGAAAGCCUGAACCAGCAAUGCCGCGUAAAUGAUGAAGGUCUGAGGGUAGUAAAGCUCUUUUACCCGGGAUGAUAAUGACAGUACCGGGAGAAUAAGCUCCGGCUAACUCCGUG
rnacentral:rRNA from 1 species